GUCGAAACACCGAUUCCUGUACGAUCACCGAAGUUAAGCAAUGUCGAGCCUGGUCAGUACUUAAAUGGGUGACCGCUUGGAUUUGCGGAUGGUGU